AGCGAACGCUGGCGGCAGGCUUAACACAUGCAAGUCGAACGGGCGUAGCAAUACGUCAGUGGCAGACGGGUGAGUAACGCGUGGGAACGUACCUUUUGGUUCGGAACAACCCAGGGAAACUUGGGCUAAUACCGGAUAAGCCCUUACGGGGGAAAGAUUUAUCGCCGAAAGAUCGGCCCGCGUCUGAUUAGCUAGUUGGUGUGGUAACGGCGCACCAAGGCGACGAUCAGUAGCUGGUCUGAGAGGAUGAUCAGCCACAUUGGGACUGAGACACGGCCCAAACUCCUACGGGAGGCAGCAGUGGGGAAUAUUGGACAAUGGGCGCAAGCCUGAUCCAGCCAUGCCGCGUGAGUGAUGAAGGCCUAGGGUUGUAAAGCUCUUUUGUGCGGGAAGAUAA
rnacentral:rRNA from 1 species